rnacentral:rRNA from 1 species
GCUGGCGGCGUGCCUAAUACAUGCAAGUCGAGCGAACAGAUAAGGAGCUUGCUCCUUUGACGUUAGCGGCGGACGGGUGAGUAACACGUGGGUAACCUACCUAUAAGACUGGGAUAACUUCGGGAAACCGGAGCUAAUACCGGAUAACAUUUGGAACCGCAUGGUUCUAAAGUGAAAGAUGGUUUUGCUAUCACUUAUAGAUGGACCCGCGCCGUAUUAGCUAGUUGGUAAGGUAACGGCUUACCAAGGCGACGAUACGUAGCCGACCUGAGAGGGUGAUCGGCCACACUGGAACUGAGACACGGUCCAGACUCCUACGGGAGGCAGCAGUAGGGAAUCUUCCGCAAUGGGCGAAAGCCUGACGGAGCAACGCCGCGUGAGUGAUGAAGGGUUUCGGCUCGUAAAACUCUGUUAUUAGGGAAGAACAAACGUGUAAGUAACUGUGCACGUCUUGACGGUACCUAAUCAGAAAGCCACGGCUAACUACGUGCCAGCAGCCGCGGUAAUACGUAGGUGGCAAGCGUUAUCCGGAAUUAUUGGGCGUAAAGCGCGCGUAGGCGGUUUCUUAAGUCUGAUGUGAAAGCCCACGGCUCAACCGUGGAGGGUCAUUGGAAACUGGGAAACUUGAGUGCAGAAGAGGAAAGUGGAAUUCCAUGUGUAGCGGUGAAAUGCGCAGAGAUAUGGAGGAACACCAGUGGCGAAGGCGACUUUCUGGUCUGUAACUGACGCUGAUGUGCGAAAGCGUGGGGAUCAAACAGGAUUAGAUACCCUGGUAGUCCACGCCGUAAACGAUGAGUGCUAAGUGUUAGGGGGUUUCCGCCCCUUAGUGCUGCAGCUAACGCAUUAAGCACUCCGCCUGGGGAGUACGACCGCAAGGUUGAAACUCAAAGGAAUUGACGGGGACCCGCACAAGCGGUGGAGCAUGUGGUUUAAUUCGAAGCAACGCGAAGAACCUUACCAAAUCUUGACAUCCUUUGAAAACUCUAGAGAUAGAGCCUUCCCCUUCGGGGGACAAAGUGACAGGUGGUGCAUGGUUGUCGUCAGCUCGUGUCGUGAGAUGUUGGGUUAAGUCCCGCAACGAGCGCAACCCUUAAGCUUAGUUGCCAUCAUUAAGUUGGGCACUCUAGGUUGACUGCCGGUGACAAACCGGAGGAAGGUGGGGAUGACGUCAAAUCAUCAUGCCCCUUAUGAUUUGGGCUACACACGUGCUACAAUGGACAAUACAAAGGGCAGCUAAACCGCGAGGUCAUGCAAAUCCCAUAAAGUUGUUCUCAGUUCGGAUUGUAGUCUGCAACUCGACUACAUGAAGCUGGAAUCGCUAGUAAUCGUAGAUCAGCAUGCUACGGUGAAUACG